rfam:Felis catus isolate Cinnamon breed Abyssinian chromosome X, whole genome shotgun sequence.
GCCUGGCUGGCUCAGUUGGUAGAGCAUGUGACUCUGAAUUUUAGGGUUCUGAGUUCAAGCCUCACGUUGGGUG